UUAACUCUUUCUUCUUGUCAAAUCACGAAGUCUUUUCAAACAAAUGAAACUCAUGUAGGCGCACCGAGUCAGUUGAAUUUCACCUUCAAAUCUAACCUUUUUGUGAUUUGAAUUAAUUUGAAAUUCAUGGGAGAGAGACAGUCAGAAAAGGAUAAUACUAAUACGCAUAUGAUCUAUCAAAUUAUGUGCGAAAGACUCAUUAUACAAGUAUGCCUAGCUCUGAUAAUGAUCACCAUAGUAGCAAGGCUUUCUUAUGGUUCAUUAUGUACAGACAUUUGCUGUUAUGGAAGGAAUGACACAUGUCAAUCUUGUAAUGGUAGUGACUGUUGUAUGUGUGAUCAAUAUUGUCUUUCAUCAGGCGAUUGCUGUCUAGAUUUUAUUCUGUGUAUAAACAGUACACAAAGUAAGUAAAAACCCUUUAAAAGUAAACACCACUAUUUAGACCGUGGCUAUUCUUCUGGGUAUCCGGAAAAAUAGACACUCCGUAACGGUAUGAUUUGUUAAUUAUUUUGCGUUUUUUGUUUGUUUGUUAUAUUUUGAGGUUAAUUCGGAGGCAGAUCUAUGAUUGUUUGUGUUUAAUUUAUACUCAACUUAUAAAGACUGCACGACAUUUAGAGCUUGAUAUAUCGUAUAGGUACCUGUCUAUUGCUGAGGACUUUACACUUCCCUCUACAUAUCUUUUGGAUAUUUUAGUCGUUGGGUUGCUGUGUCGUUGACAUUAUUCAAUCACAUUGAGUUAUUUUAUUUUUGAAGUUAUUUUUAAUAUGCUUACAUUUCAGUCGGAAAAUAUUAUAAAUGUAUCUUAUGAUCAAUGCGGAAUUGAAAUAAAGUUAUAGAUUAUUCCAUGAGAACGACAUGUUUAGUUAGUUUAGUUUCAGAAAAAAUAUAUACAAAGGAAUUAAAAAAUGUAUUUCAUGUAAAUGUUUAAGACAUUUAAAGUAGUCUUAAACCUUUCCGACAUAUACACGUUACUUGGGCUAUUUUAUGUUAUUAUUAUUGUAAAUAUUGUAUAUGUAUUGCUUUAUAAUAAUCGAUUAACCGCUUGCUUGCUUGUAAUUAUUUGUGUUGAUUUACACAUGCUCAUAUUAUCAUUAUUACUACAAUGUUUCAGAGCAUCAUACAUAACAGAACCAUCUGAUUAUCUAAGUUUAAGAUAGAUUUAAUUAUCUACAUACAAAUUUAUUCUAUUUUUUUAAGUAUAAAAACGAUAAGCAUUGUAGAGAUGACAACGACUGAUACAUAUAUAUUUUAUUUUUGUAUAAAACUUGACAUCUAUUAUCGCACAUGCUCUCCUAUGGCGUGUCAAACGUUGCAAUGUUCACAAAAAAUAAAAUAUAUGUUCUUGAAAAGAAAUAAUUGUUCAUAAAAAUUAAAUGUAUGUUCAUAAAGAUAAAACAUAUAUUAAAAAAAUAAAAAAAAUGUGUUUAUAAAAUAAUAUAUAUAUAUAUAUAUGCAUUGAAUUAACUAUAUGUUGACUUCAAUAAAAAAUAUACAUGCAUAAAAAAUGCAUUUUAAGUUACUGUAUGAAGCUUCAUACAAAAUGUGCAUCUGUCCACGCUUUAACACCCAAAUAAAAUUACAAAACGAAACAUUCAAUUCUUAAAUGAAAUUUGGAAAGUAUGCACACAAUUAUGUAAAAGUCACAUUAUUCCUUCAAUUUUUUUAGUCAAUUUUUUAUCGUUUUAUUCAUAUUCUAUUUGUCUUUUGAGAAUACUCCACUCGAGAACUAAACAUGGUGAAUGAUUAUGACAAGUGGAAUAUGAUGUUGCUUUCAUUCAAAUACUCAUAAGAAGCAAUAGACCAUCGACAAGAAAACGGACAAUCCUAUUCAAUUACGACCGGAGUGGAAUGCACUUUAUCAUGAGUGGGGAUCGAACUUGCGACCUCGAUAUUGACAGUCACAACUUCAGUGUUAUUCACUGUAAAUGAACUACCUAGACCACUCAGCCACCGAGGCCCUCAUCAUAUGCACACAUAUAGUUAUAUGGCAUUUAAACGCACAUCAGUAGAGACUAUAGCUAAACGACAACGUUUGCGGUAGUUCCUGGUUCAGACCAACACAGUAGUGAAAACAGUUGGAAUUCAUAACUCUUAUCGGAGUAGGAGAAAACGUGCGUUUGCAGAUCGAAUCACUUCCUCUAUGAGUGCAUUAUCCUUCAUCCGGUUAGAAAGUCAAAUCCAGUAGCAGUAGCCAGGAACGAGACUAAAUCGGCAAUGAUAUUGGAUGAAUGUACAGGGCCUUUGGUAGACUUUGAUUGUAAUAAGUUGAGAAACUAGAAGCUGUAACAUAAUCUAGUGAUGGUGACCAUAUAACCUUGCUGAAGUAGUCAUUGGAUUUAGACUACACAUCUUUUGAAUAAAAAACCAACACUUUAUUAA